rnacentral:rRNA from 1 species
UACAGGGGGGGCAAGCGUUGUUCGGAAUUAUUGGGCGUAAAGAGCUCGUAGGCGGUUUGUCGCGUCUGCUGUGAAAACUCGGGGCUUAACCCCGGGCCUGCAGUGGGUACGGGCAGACUAGAGUGCGGUAGGGGAGACUGGAAUUCCUGGUGUAGCGGUGAAAUGCGCAGAUAUCAGGAGGAACACCGGUGGCGAAGGCGGGUCUCUGGGCCGUAACUGACGCUGAGGAGCGAAAGCGUGGGGAGCGAACAGG